rnacentral:rRNA from 1 species
AGAGUUUGAUCCUGGCUCAGGAUGAACGCUGGCGGCGUGCUUAACACAUGCAAGUCGAACGAAGCACUUUAUUUGAUUUCCUUCGGGAUUGAUUAUUUUGUGACUGAGUGGCGGACGGGUGAGUAACGCGUGGGUAACCUGCCUUGUACAGGGGGAUAACAGUUGGAAACGGCUGCUAAUACCGCAUAAGCGCACAGCAUCGCAUGAUGCAGUGUGAAAAACUCCGGUGGUAUAAGAUGGACCCGCGUUGGAUUAGCUAGUUGGUGAGGUAAUGGCCUACCAAGGCGACGAUCCAUAGCCGACCUGAGAGGGUGACCGGCCACAUUGGGACUGAGACACGGCCCAAACUCCUACGGGAGGCAGCAGUGGGGAAUAUUGCACAAUGGGCGAAAGCCUGUUGCAGCGACGCCGCGUGAGCGAAGAAGUAUUUCGGUAUGUAAAGCUCUAUCAGCAGGGAAGAUAAUGACGGUACCUGACUAAGAAGCACCGGCUAAAUACGUGCCAGCAGCCGCGGUAAUACGUAUGGUGCAAGCGUUAUCCGGAUUUACUGGGUGUAAAGGGAGCGCAGGCGGUGCGGCAAGUCUGAUGUGAAGGCCCGGGGCUCAACCCCGGUACUGCAUUGGAAACUGUCGUACUAGAGUGUCGGAGGGGUAAGCGGAAUUCCUAGUGUAGCGGUGGAAUGCGUAGAUAUCGGGAGGAACACCAGUGGCGAAGGCGGCCUACUGGGCACCAACUGAUGCUGAGGCUCGAAAGUGUGGGUAGCAAACAGGAUUAGAUACCCUGGUAGUCCACACCGUAAACGAUGAUUACUAGGUGUUGGAGGAUUGACCCCUUCAGUGCCGCAGUUAACACAAUAAGUAAUCCACCUGGGGAGUACGACCGCAAGGUUGAAACUCAAAGGAAUUGACGGGGGCCCGCACAAGCAGUGGAGUAUGUGGUUUAAUUCGACGCAACGCGAAGAACCUUACCAAGUCUUGACAUCCCUUGACAGACAUAGAAAUAUGUAAUCUCUUCGGAGCAAGGAGACAGGUGGUGCAUGGUUGUCGUCAGCUCGUGUCGUGAGAUGUUGGGUUAAGUCCCGCAACGAGCGCAACCCUUAUGGUCAGUUACUACGCAAGAGGACUCUGGCCAGACUGCCGUUGACAAAACGGAGGAAGGUGGGGAUGACGUCAAAUCAUCAUGCCCUUUAUGACUUGGGCUACACACGUACUACAAUGGCGUUAAACAAAGAGAAGCAAGACCGCGAGGUGGAGCAAAACUCAGAAACAACGUCCCAGUUCGGACUGCAGGCUGCAACUCGCCUGCACGAAGUCGGAAUUGCUAGUAAUCGUGGAUCAGCAUGCCACGGUGAAUACGUUCCCGGGCCUUGCACACACCGCCCGUCA